CAGCCGCCGCGGUAAUACGAAGGGUGCAAGCGUUAAUCGGAAUUACUGGGCGUAAAGCGUGCGCAGGCGGUUUGUUAAGACAGAUGUGAAAUCCCCGGGCUUAACCUGGGAACUGCAUCUGUGACUGGCAAGCUAGAGUCUGGCAGAGGGGGGUGGAAUUCCGCGUGUAGCAGUGAAAUGCGUAGAUAUGCGGAGGAACACCGAUGGCGAAGGCAGCCCCCUGGGCCAACACUGACGCUCAUGCACGAAAGCGUGGGGAGCAAACAGGAUUAGAUACCCGUGUAGUCCCUGUCUCUUAUAC
rnacentral:rRNA from 1 species